AAGCGGAGGAAAAGAAACUAACAAGGAUUCCCCUAGUAACGGCGAGUGAAGCGGGAUGAGCUCAAAUUUAAAAUCUGGCGGUCUCAGAUCGUCCGAGUUGUAGUCUAGAGAAGCGUUUUCCGUGCUGGCCUGUGUACAAGUCCGUUGGAACACGGCGUCAUAGAGGGUGAGAAUCCCGUCCUUGACACAGAUCUCCAGUGCUUUGUGAUGCGCUCUCAAAGAGUCGAGUUGUUUGGGAAUGCAGCUCAAAAUGGGUGGUAAAUUCCAUCUAAAGCUAAAUAUUGGCGAGAAACCGAUAGCGAACAAGUACCGUGAGGGAAAGAUGAAAAGCACUUUGGAAAGAGAGUUAAACAGUACGUGAAAUUGUUGAAAGGGAAACGAUUGAAGUCAGUCAUGCUUUCCGAGACUCAGCCGGUUCUGCCGGUGUACUUCUCGGUUUGCAGGCCAGCAUCAGUUUUGGGCGGUGGAAAAGGUUGGCGGGAAUGUGGCAUCCUCGGAUGUGUUAUAGCCCGCUUUCGAAUACAUCGCCCGGGACUGAGGAACGCAGCACGCCUCUUGUAGGUCGGUCUUCGGACACGUCCGUGCUUAGGAUGCUGGCAUAAUGGCUUUAAACGACCCGUCUU
rnacentral:rRNA from 1 species